rnacentral:rRNA from 1 species
AAUAGAUACCCGGGUAGUCCACGCCGUAAACGAUGAGUGCUAAGUGUUAGGGGGUUUCCGCCCCUUAGUGCUGCAGCUAACGCAUUAAGCACUCCGCCUGGGGAGUACGGUCGCAAGACUGAAACUCAAAGGAAUUGACGGGGGCCCGCACAAGCGGUGGAGCAUGUGGUUUAAUUCGAAGCAACGCGAAGAACCUUACCAGGUCUUGACAUCCCGUUGACCACUAUGGAGACAUGGUUUUCCCUUCGGGGACAACGGUGACAGGUGGUGCAUGGUUGUCGUCAGCUCGUGUCGUGAGAUGUUGGGUUAAGUCCCGCAACGAGCGCAACCCUUGUUCUUAGUUGCCAUCAUUUAGUUGGGCACUCUAAGGAGACUGCCGGUGACAAACCGGAGGAAGGUGGGGAUGACGUCAAAUCAUCAUGCCCCUUAUGACCUGGGCUACACACGUGCUACAAUGGACGGUACAAACGGUUGCCAACCCGCGAGGGGAGCUAAUCCGAUAAAACCGUUCUCAGUUCGGAUUGUAGGCUGCAACUCGCCUACAUGAAGCCGGAA